rnacentral:lncRNA from 1 species
AUAAAACAGAAGAUAAUCUAAACUGGUAUGUAAUUAACUAUUUGCUAAAAACAUACACAGAUACACCUUGAUAAGCAAGGGACGAUAUACCUUGCAAUAAAUGACUUAAAUGAUCACAUUUGGAUCAUACAAAUGCCUUCGUUCAGAACGGCAGGCUUAUCAACGUGUCUUGUGUUCGUGAUUGCGGCAUCACAUUGUCACUUCCAACUUGAGGUUGUGCUGGUGUCCACCCCUGAAGAGUUGUAAUGAAAAUAUAUGGUCAACAUGAUUUCAACUGCAUGUACUUAUGUAAUAUAUGGAAAAUUGCAGAAACUAGAAAUGUCGCCCAAUUUUCAGCCCGGCAAUAAUUAACCAUUUCAAAAGAUUGCUCUAUUCAAGGAUACAAAUACUUGGAAAGCCACUCUUUGCAUGCCAAAAGCUCUUGAUGUAUUAUAACUCAGGGGUCGUGUUAUCCAGGAAAAGCCCUUUCUGAAUCUACCCCAUAAGAAUCUCCUAUUAAUCGACCAGAUUCAAAUAGCACAGAGAAAAAAAAGUGCAUGCAUCUUUAAUUAGCAUUCAACUUGGACAGACUAAAGGUCAGCAUUGGUCAGUGACCAAAUGCAGAGUGGGCUGAGAAAAAAAUAGCAGCCUAUAAAUGCCGCUAAUAACAGAGGUGUCUCGGGUAGUGCAGCCUUCCUGGAAUGAAGACAGCAUGCAGUAUCAGAGCGGGCAAUCUGACAGCAAAUUCAGGCGGCUGAGAGCAUGCCUGGAGCAACAAUUUACAUAUUCUCCCAAUAAACCAAAAGCAAUUGUCAUUGACGACAACACAGCCACUCAGAAUCUCAACCACUAAUUUCAUAAACGAGAAUACAAUUGCUGCAACACCUACUUGAUGGCUGUAAGCCUGCAACUGACCCAAAUCCCCUCGAACAAUGCCCAAACUGAUGCACUGUUCAUGAUUUUUUUUCCUUUUAGUGUUACAUUCCUCGAGUGCAAAACCCAACGACCAACAACUCGAAGCAGAGCCAUUUACAUGUUGCACAUGCACACCUACACGUACAGAAACGAAGAAGGUACCAAUGGGUCAAUACGCCAAGCAGGUGCUGGGCAUGGGAUGAUGGGAGGCAGCUCAGGCGCACAGAAACGCAGGCAAAGACGCCAAUGGCGAAUGGCGAAUCAAGUGGCAGUUACGUAAACCACACCGUUCCUGGGAACGAUCAAGCCAGGCACGCGAAACCACCCCAAAAACUGCAGCCACGCAAGUUCCCCACCCCCACCGUCUGCUCGGCCGGUUCCAAAAGCCGAAACGUCCGAGCCCGACGAGCCCUCCUAGCGGAAACCCCACCGGCCGCCGAUCCCCUUAGCGGCCAGAGGCAUCCGACAAAGCGCAUGAACACGGACAAGCUGGAGACGAAUCGGAAACACCGGAGCAGCGCGAGCGACUCACCCACGCCAGGAGGAGACACUCGAUGCGUUCAACGCUCCCGGCGCCGGCACCUCGCCCCAUUUCCACCGCUGCACCAGCC